UAGGUAAAUAACUAGGAGUGGAAUUGCUGAGUCGUAUGUUAUCAAAGUUCUUUCACAUAACUCUCCACUUCUAAUGAACUGGUGAGAUAGAGCCAACAAGAAUAGAUUUACGUAAAGGAUCAUGAGAACAUCCUGGGAAAGAACUCAAGACAGAAGAAGAGAAUCAAGACCCAUACACACAAGAGGAAAGCCUACAUGAGUACACAGUAGGAUGGAGGCUGUCUAUAAGCCAGGAAGAAGGCUCUCACCAGAAACCAAAUUUGCAGGAACCCUGAUCAUGGACUUCUAGCUGCCGUAACAGUGAGAAAAUAAAUGUCUGUUGUUUAAGCAUUCAA